CCCCCAGAUGCUGCCGUGACUUGUUCUCUCACCUCCUGCAAGUCUAGGCCCAAAUAUCACCUUCCCAGGAAGGCCUUUCUGACCAUCUUAUCUAAACUUAGAAAAUAAGCCUCCCCAAGCUCCUUAUCCCUCCCGAUCCAACUCUGUUUUUUUCUACACCUUCCUUAUCACCUUCUUAUAUUUUAUAGAACACAAUUGUUUGUCUCCCUCACCAGAAUGUAAGCUCUACAAAGCGAAGAGGUUUUUCUCCUUUUGCUCACUGCUGAAUGCCUCCAUCAAAAAUAAAGCUUACUCUACAGAAAGAGUCGACAACUAUUUCUAGAACAAAUGAGCAAAACAGAAAGACAAUUAACACUCUCUUCAUACUCCGCGUCAUAACUCACCGGCUUUCUGAUCUUAGGCCGAUCACUGACAUCUUACCUAACUAACCUUCUGACCUUCAACAAUGGCCAAAAUUAUUAUGGCUUCCUCUUAUAGAAUAUAUUAUUUGGCAAAAUGCAAGUUCCUUGGGGACCAGGAAUUUUGAAACGUUCAUCAGGAUGUCCUCUGGGGCUCGUAGAAAGUUGUUUGCUCGGUGCUCCAGGGAAUGGGUAACCAGCAGAAGCAGCGAACAACCACAGCUGAAAAACAGGGCGUUUUCAGGAUACAGACUGGCUGGGAUCAGAAGCGGAACUGCUUAUCGAGAAGCCAUCUCUUCCCCAACUUGUGACUUUAAGGAUGAGUGGGCAUUUUUGCAAAGAAUCCACCCCAGCAGGGCUUGCCCCAAGUGGAGAGAAGCAGACUGCCUGGGGCACACCUGUUGCUGGAGCUCAUCUGACAUGUGGACACAGGAGCUUGCAGUGGUGUUCACAGGACCGAUGCACUGA
rnacentral:lncRNA from 12 species